CCUACGGGAGGUAGCAGUGGGGAAUAUUGCACAAUGGGGGAAACCCUGAUGCAGCGACGCCGCGUGAGUGAAGAAGUAUCUCGGUACGUAAAGCUCUAUCAGCAGGGAAGAAACUGACGGUACCUGACUAAGAAGCCCCGGCUAACUACGUGCCAGCAGCCGCGGUAAUACGUAGGGGGAAAGCGUUAUCCGGAUUUACUGGGUGUAAAGGGAGCGUAGACGGCAGCACAAGUCUGGAGUGAAAUCCCGGGGCUUAACCCCGGAACUGCUUUGGAAACUGGGCGGCUGGAGUGCAGGAGGGGUAAGCGGAAUUCCUAGUGUAGCGGUGAAAUGCGUAGAUAGUAGGAGGAACACCGGUGGCGAAGGCGGCUUACUGGACUGUAACUGACGUUGAGGCUCGAAAGCGUGGGGAGCAAACAGGAUUAGAGACCCCUGUAGUC
rnacentral:rRNA from 1 species